CUGGAAUGGCUUAUGGUCCAAACAGUUUACUGCCAUGGGAUGGGACUGCGGCCUAUCAGCUUGUUGGUGAGGUAAUGGCCCACCAAGGCUAUAACAGGUACGGGCUCUGAGAGGAGAAGCCCGGAGAUGGGUACUGAGACACGGACCCAGGCCCUAUGGGGCGCAGCAGGCGAGAAACCUUAGCAAUGUGCGAAAGCACGACUGGGUCAGUCCGAGUGAUUCCUGAUAAAGGAGUCUUUUAUCUGUCCUAAAAGCACAGGUGAAUAAGGGGUGGGCAGGUCUGGUGUCAGCCGCCGCGGUAAUACCAGCACCUCGAGUGGUCAGGACGUUUAUUGGGCCUAAAGCAUCCGUAGCCGGCUUUGCAAGUCUUCGGUUAAAUCCACCUGCUCAACAGAUGGGCUGCUGGAGAUACUACAAAGCUAGGGAGUGGGAGAGGCAGACGGUAUUCAGUGGGUAGGGGUAAAAUCCUCUGAUCCAUCGAGGACCACCAGUGGCGAAGGCGGUCUGCCAGAACACGUUCGACGGUGAGGGAUGAAAGCUGGGGGAGCAAACCGGAUUAGAUACCCGGGUAGUCCCAGCUGUAAACGAUGCAAACUCGGUGAUGCAUUGGCUUAUGGCCAAUGCAGUGCCGCAGGGAAGCCGUUAAGUUUGCCGCCUGGGAAGUACGGACGCAAGUCUGAAACUUAAAGGAAUUGGCGGGGGAGCACCACAAGGGGUGAAGCCUGCGGUUCAAUUGGAGUCAACGCCGGG
rnacentral:rRNA from 1 species